CGGGAAGUGUGGGUUUAGCACAUCCUAUUCCACAGAACUACAUAGCCAAUGUAGGUUAGAUUAUCAGAUUAUUCCCAUUUCUAUAUGGAUGACAGAUUUAGCUUGUGAUCGAUCACAUGGGUAGGUUAUACUCCCCGGCAAGAGUAUGACACCUCUCCCCAACAUGAGUUUUCUUCCUUAGGAGGAUGAGGCGUUGGACUCCAUGUUAGCUUACAUGGUUUAUGUCGGUUAAGAGAACCCCCUGCUA
rnacentral:lncRNA from 1 species